rnacentral:rRNA from 1 species
UACGCGGGGUGCAAGCGUUGCUCGGAAUUAUUGGGCGUAAAGGGUAGGUAGGUGGUCUUAUUUGUCUGAUGUGAAAUCCUUGGGCUUAACUCAAGAAGUGCGUCAGAAACGGUAAGACUAGAGUCCUGGAGAGGGUCGUGGAAUUCCCGGUGUAGCGGUGAAAUGCGUAGAGAUCGGGAGGAACACCAGAGGCGAAGGCGGCGACCUGGACAGGCACUGACACUCAACUACGAAAGCGUGGGGAGCAAACAGG